rnacentral:rRNA from 1 species
UACGUAGGGUGCAAGCGUUGUCCGGAAUUAUUGGGCGUAAAGAGCUCGUAGGCGGUUUGUUGCGUCGGCUGUGAAAUCCCGAGGCUCAACCUCGGGUCUGCAGUCGAUACGAGCAAACUAGAGUGUUGCAGGGGAGACUGGAAUUCCUGGUGUAGCGGUGAAAUGCGCAGAUAUCAGGAGGAACACCGAUGGCGAAGGCAGGUCUCUGGGCCACUACUGACGCUGAGAAGCUAAAGCAUGGGGAGCGAACAGG